rnacentral:rRNA from 1 species
UACGGGGGGGGCAAGCGUUGUUCGGAAUUACUGGGCGUAAAGGGCGCGUAGGCGGCUGUACAAGUCAAAGGUGAAAUCCCUCGGCUCAACUGAGGAACUGCCUUUGAAACUGUACGGCUUGAGGCCGGGAGGGGGUAGCGGAAUUCCCAGUGUAGCGGUGAAAUGCGUAGAUACUGGGAGGAACACCGGUGGCGAAGGCGGUUCUCUGGGCCUUACCUGACGCUGAGGAGCGAAAGCGUGGGGAGCAAACAGG